AUGUCACAAAAGACUGAGCCCAAAGAGGAGCCGACAGACUCUGAAAUCACAUUUGUGCCGACGGAAAAUGAGCCCGUCUCCAUUUCUGAAGGAUUUGUAAUCCCAGCGUUGGAAACCACCUUUGGAUCGACAUUCGAUGCCGUUACUACAGAUGACGAAAUCACCAGAAAGGUGACUCCAGAUGAUGAGGAGGAUGAAGGUGAGAAGGAAGAUGAUUAUCCUCGUGAUCGCAAUGAUGGUAAAACGAAAAUACCACUGCUGUCGUUCUCUGAUGGGGGAGAAGUCGAAUCUCCAAAAACACCAGAGAUGCCAUCUGAAGUCAAGGACAAUAUUAAAACUGUUGGUGAAAACAUGUGGUCGUCACUUGGAGAUGCCGUGUUGUCAGUGGUCACAGGGGGCGAGAGGACGCCAGCUCAAGAUUUGAGUUCAGAGGAAGAGGAAGAUGAUGAGGAUGAGGAAAGGAUAACUCCUCCACAAACAGCUCCCGAUUUGGAGGAAGCAGAGAAUGAGCCUGAGUUGGAUGAAGUCUUCCAACACCCAAAGAACCCAACACCAACACACGAGGAUCUUACGAUUGAUAGCACAGACGAUACAGAAACUGUCCCUGACUCUGAGAAACUGGUCGAUAAAUAUGAGGAUGGGGACAACAGAGAGGACGAUGGUGAAAAACAAGCAGAUGAGCUAGAUGUAAAAGCAGAUUCUGGUAGGGAAGAUUUUUUGGGUGGACCUGAGACUGAAGCACCAGAUUUUGAAACAUCAAGCAAACCCACUGAGCAUGAAAUAGAAGAGGACAAGGCAGUUGGAGAUAAUGAUGCACACACAGAGAAUAGCAGUGUUGAAAUAAAGACUGGUUCAGACCCAGAAGAGACAGAAGAAGAGUUAAGCGUUACUAAUACUGAAAAUAAUCUAGAUAUGUCCACAGAAAAGAGGGAGCCAAAUGAUUCCAAUCUCAAACAUGUUGAGAAUGAAGUCAAUCAAAGCUUGUCUCAUCAGUUCCAUCCAAUGAAACAAGAGAUUUAG
rnacentral:lncRNA from 1 species